ACCCUGGUCUCCAGGCAGUUGGUUCUGAACCAAACCUGACCCACCUCACUUGCCUGGUGGGCCUGGACCCGGCCCAACAUUUUCUUGCUGUUAGCACAGGUCUCCCCGCAGUGGACCCAAAAAUGGUCCCCGAAACUCUUGUCACACUCUGCUGAAAGGCAUGAGGAGCCUGUGUGUACGCCUCAGGCCAGCACCAGCACUUUCCCUGAGAUGACGUCUACAGGGGUGACCAAUCUCACGGCCGUGACAGAAUUUGUCCUCCUGGGUUUCCCCACCCAGGGGACCAUGACUUCUUGCACCUGCUGCUCUUCUCCCUGGUCUACCUGUGCACCUUGCUGGGAAACGGGCUCAUCCUCGUCAUUACGACCUGGAUGGGCACCUCCGCACCCCCAUGUACUUCUUCAUGAGGGGUCUGUCCCUCACGGACCUCUGUCUCAUCUCAGGCACUAUCCGCAAGUCCAUUGCCAACUCUCUGAGGCACAGCAACUCCAUCUCCUUCCUGGGCUGUGUCCUCCAGUUCUUCAUGCUGGUUGUUUCAGGAGGUACAGAGCUUCACCUGCUCACAGUGAUGAGCCUUGACCACUAUGCUGCCAUCUGCCACCCCCUGCACUAUGGCAUCAUCAUGAGCAGGGACAGGAGAAGUUUAUGUUUCUGCUCAAAGGACAAAGGAAAACACACUUGACUCUGCCAAAGAUGGAAGGAUGGAAGGUUACUUAGUAGGAAUCUAUGAGUGAAUCCUGGAAUUGAUGGAAUGUUAAUUUCUAUGAUGCCAUUUUGAUGCCAAUGUGACUACAUUCCUUUGAUGUGCUGUUUUCAAAAAUAAAGUUAUAUGA